GACGAACGCUGGCGGCGUGCUUAACACAUGCAAGUCGAACGGAAAGGCCCUGCUUUUGUGGGGUGCUCGAGUGGCGAACGGGUGAGUAAAACGUGAGUAACCUGCACUUGACUUUGGGAUAACUUCAGGAAACUGGGGCUAAUACCGGAUAGGAGCUCCUGCUGCAUGGUGGUGGUUGGAAAGUUUCGGCGGUUGGGGAUGGAUUCGCGGCUUAUCAGCUUGUUGGUGGGGUAGUGGCUUACAAAGGCUUUGACGGGUAGCCGGCCUGGGAGGGUGACCGGCCACAUGGGGACUGAGGGACGGAGCAGACGGCUACGGGAGGCAGCAGUGGGGAGUAUUGCGGAAUGGGCGGAAGCCUGAGGCGACGACGUCGCGUUCGUGAUGACGUGUUUCUAGUGGUGAACAGCUGUCGACGUUGAUGAGGCGUGAGUGACGGUAAUGGGUAAGAAAGCACCGGCUAACUACGUG
rnacentral:rRNA from 1 species